rnacentral:rRNA from 1 species
GACGAACGCUGGCGGCGUGCUUAACACAUGCAAGUCGAACGGGAAGGCCCCUUCUGGGGCACACGCGUGGCGAACGGGUGAGUAACACGUGAGCGACCAGUCCUUGACGCUGAAAUAACAGUUGGAAACAGCUGCUAAUACUGGAAAUUCAUCUAAUCCUGCAUGGGGGGAGGGGGCAGGCUCCGGCGGUCAGGGAUGGGCUGGCGGCCUAUCAGCUUGUUGGUGUGGUAAUGGCUCACCAAGGCGUCGCGGGGUAGCCGGCCUGAGAGGGGGACCGGCCACACUGGGACUGAGAUACGGCCCAGACUCCUACGGGAGGCAGCAGUGGGGAAUAUUGCACAAUGGGCGCAAGCCUGAUGCAGCAACGCCGCGUGCGGGAUGACGGCCAUCGGGUUGUAAACCGCUUUCAGUAGGGACGAAGGGUGACUGACGGUACCUACAGAAGAAGGACCGGCUAACUACGUG